GUCCCUUCGGAGACAUCCGAUAAAAUUGAACAAUAGGAAGAAGAUUAGCAUGGUUUAUGCGCAAAGAUAAACGUCGAGAAAUAGUCCAAACUUUU
rfam:Arabis alpina cultivar Pajares chromosome 8, whole genome shotgun sequence.